rnacentral:rRNA from 1 species
CCUACGGUAGGCAGCAGUGAGGAAUAUUGGUCAAUGGCCGUAAGGCUGAACCAGCCAAGUAGCGUGAGGGAAGACUGCCCUAUGGGUUGUAAACCUCUUUUAUGCGGGGAUAAAGGUGUCCACGUGUGGCGUUUUGCGAGUACCUGAAGAAAAAGCAUCGGCUAACUCCGUGCCAGCAGCCGCGGUAAUACGGAGGAUGCGAGCGUUAUCCGGAUUUAUUGGGUUUAAAGGGUGCGCAGGCGGAAUGUCAAGUCAGCGGUAAAAUUUCGGGGCUCAACCCGGUCGUGCCGUUGAAACUGGCGUUCUUGAGUGAGCGAGAAGUAUGCGGAAUGCGUGGUGUAGCGGUGAAAUGCAUAGAUAUCACGCAGAACUCCGAUUGCGAAGGCAGCAUACCGGCGCUCAACUGACGCUCAUGCACGAAAGCGUGGGUAUCGAACAGGAUUAGAUACCCGUGUAGUC